CUACGGGCCGCAGCAGCGGGGAAUAUUGCACAAUGGAGGAAACUCUGAUGCAGCAACGCCGCGUGGAGGAUGACACUUUUCGGAGCGUAAACUCCUUUUAUAUAGGAAGAAGAUGACGGUACUAUAUGAAUAAGCGCCGGCUAACUCCGUGCCAGCAGCCGCGGUAAUACGGAGGGCGCAAGCGUUACGCGGAAUCACUGGGCGUAAAGAGCGUGUAGGCGGAUUAAAAAGUCAGAAGUGAAAUCCUAUAGCUUAACUAUAGAACUGCUUCUGAAACUCUUAAUCUAGAAUAUGGGAGAGGUAGAUGGAAUUUCUGGUGUAGGGGUAAAAUCCGUAGAGAUCAGAAGGAAUACCGAUUGCGAAGGCGAUCUACUAGAACAUUAUUGACGCUGAGACGCGAAAGCGUGGGGAGCAAACAGGAUUAGAUACCCCCGUAGUC
rnacentral:rRNA from 1 species